GAUCCUCCCACCCUUUGUGUACCUACCUCUGUUGCUUUGGCGGGCCGCGGUUCUCCGCGGCCGCCCCCCUCCCCGGGGGGUGGCCAGCGCCCGCCAGAGGACCAUCAAACUCCAGUCAGUAAACGAUGCAGUCUGAAAAACAUUUAAUAAACUAAAACUUUCAACAACGGAUCUCUUGGUUCUGGCAUCGAUGAAGAACGCAGCGAAAUGCGAUAAGUAAUGUGAAUUGCAGAAUUCAGUGAAUCAUCGAAUCUUUGAACGCACAUUGCGCCCUUUGGUAUUCCGAAGGGCAUGCCUGUUCGAGCGUCAUUACAACCCUCAAGCUCUGCUUGGUAUUGGGCACCGUCCUUUGCGGGCGCGCCUCAAAGACCUCGGCGGUGGCGUCUUGCCUCAAGCGUAGUAGAACAUACAUCUCGCUUCGGAGCGCAGGGCGUCGCCCGCCGGACGAACCUUCUGAACUUUUCUCAAGGUUGACCUCGGAUCAGGUAGGGGUCCCCUCUGAACUUAAGCAUAUCAAUAA
rnacentral:rRNA from 1 species